CUAAAUAUUAAAAUAGAAAAUAUCAUCAUUACAUUUUAUUUUACAACUAAAUAUGGGAAUGGAAUCACAAGAUCUAUUACAUUAUAUUACCCCUAAUAGACUUGGUCUUAAAACAAAUAGAAAGGGGAAAAAUAUAAAAAAAAUUAGAGUUACUUCCAUGCUCCAAUAUUUUUAACGUGGUCCUACCUCUGAAAUUGAACACUGAUUAACUGAGAGUUGGGAAGAGCAGCUUUUGGAUUGAGUACCAGACAUAAUUGUUGUAUGGUGGCCAUACCUACGAUAUGCAGGUUUUGACAAUGCAGGGACAGCAACAGUGCAGCUAUCAAGCAUGAGAACAACCGAAGCCAUAGUUGGCCUUUUUGCUGCAUCAUCUUGCAAGCACAGCAAUCCUAUUUGGAUGCAUCUCACUAUAUCAUGUGUCGAAGCAGCUCCUAUCAGAAUAGGAUCUAUGAUAUUUGAAGCAGUCCCUCCAAUCCAAUUAUCCCAGGCCUAAACAAAAUUCAAAAGAAAUAUGCAUAUGAUCUUUUUAAUUAUUUUUGUUUAGAUUUGCCCAUAUUCAAUAGCCAAUGUAAUGGAGAAAUAUAGAAAUAAAAAUAUUUUACUUACAUAGGUUAUAAGGUCCCCUCCUCCUUCUUCCCCAAUACAGAAUUUAUUACUCUUUUGGCCAGUGAUAAUUUCCAAAAUCAAUACACCAAAGCUAAAAACAUCUGACUUCACUGAGAGGAUCCCUUGAAAUGCAUACUCUGGAGCCAUGUAGCCACUGAACUUAACCAUUAGUCAACUAAUUAUACUUUCCAAACACUUCAUGAUUAUAAACAAAAUUUAACUGGAGAUUCUUAUACUUACAAGGUUCCCACAAUUUUGCUUGUAGCAUCCUUAGAUUGAUCUAUGGGAAACAACCUUGCUGUUCCGAAGUCUGAAAUUUUAGGAUU
rnacentral:misc_RNA from 1 species